UGGGGAAUCUUGCGCAAUGGGCGAAAGCCUGACGCAGCGACGCCGCGUGAGGGAAGAAGGCCUUCGGGUUGUAAAUCUCUUUCAGCAGGGACGAAGCUACUCGGGUUAAUAGCCCAGAGGGUGACGGUACCUGCAGAAGAAGCCCCGGCUAACUACGUGCCAGCAGCCGCGGUAAUACGUAGGGGGCAAGCGUUGUCCGGAUUUACUGGGCGUAAAGAGCGUGUAGGCGGCCAGGCAGGUCUGUUGUGAAAACUGGAGGCUCAACCUCCAGACGUCGACAGAAACCGCUUGGCUAGAGUCCGGAAGAGGAGAGUGGAAUUCCUGGUGUAGCGGUGAAAUGCGCAGAUAUCAGGAAGAACACCAAUGGCGAAGGCAGCUCUCUGGGACGGUACUGACGCUGAGACGCGAAAGCGUGGGGAGCGAACAGGAUUAGAUACCCGUGGUAGUCCACGCCGUAAACGAUGGGUGCUAGGUGUGGGGAGGUGUCGACUCCUUCCG
rnacentral:rRNA from 1 species